AACAAGGGCAGAAUAUAUGGUAAACUGAACAGAGACAGCCCAUGAGGCCUUAGCCCUACACAAGAGACUACGGGCAACUAUAGAAUGCUGAGAGUGGAAGUAAUACCUGGUGCAGUGAAGAGCACACAGAUUGGUUGUCUGGCCAUAACCCCCCUAUCCCAUCCCACUCCCCUUCUUCUAUAAGGGUGUUCACCCUACCCCUCACCACCUACACACCCCGACAUUCCACUACACUGCAGUGUCCAACCCUGGCAGGACCAAGGGCUUCCCCUUCCAAUGGUGCUCCAACAAGACUAUUCUCUGCUACAUGUGCAGUUGGAGACCAGGGAGGAACGAUUUUGACUUCAAAAGUAACGAAAUAUUUGAGAAGGGAAUUUACAUCCUUCAGUUCUAAAU
ensembl:lncRNA